AGCCGGAAUCGCUAGUAAUCGCGGAUCAGAAUGCCGCGGUGAAUACGUUCCCGGGUCUUGUACACACCGCCCGUCACACCAUGGGAGUCGGAAAUGCCCGAAGCCGGUGGCCUAACCGAUAAGGGAGGAGCCGUCGAAGGCAGGUCUGAUGACUGGGGUGAAGUCGUAACAAGGUAUC
rnacentral:rRNA from 1 species